rnacentral:lncRNA from 1 species
UUGUAGUAAAGGACAGGGUUACCUUACAGAUCUAGGACACAGCAGGAUAAGUCAAGCUCCAACCCCUUGGUGAGACCUUCUCCAGAGAAGCAGACCGCUGAGGGACAGUUUUUGAUGUCUGUGUCCUAUCUAACAUAUACAAAACUCUUAACAGCUGGAGAGAUGAAUGAUUCAUCUAAACCCAUCCCAGGAGUCCUGAAAUCUUCCCCUUUGUUG